GGGGGUAGCGUAAUCACUUGUUUUCUAAAUAAAGACUAGUAUGAACGGCCACACGAGGACUUAACUGUCUCCUUUAUCUAAUCAGUGAAACUGAUCCCCCCGUGCAGAAGCGGGGAUAACACCAUAAGACGAGAAGACCCUAUGGAGCUUUAAACCAAACUAACUACCCUUCUUAAACCUCUAAAGAGCCAACACAUUUAGGUAGUAUUAACUUUGGUUUUAGGUUGGGGCGACCAUGAAAAAAAACUUAACCUUCCUGAUGACUUAUAAACUAAGAGUUACAACUCUAAGUAUUAAGACUCUUAACCUUCAUUGACCCACUUUGUGACCAACGAACCAAGUUACCCUAGGGAUAACAGCGCAAUCCAUUUCAAGAGUCCUUAUCGACAAAUGGGUUUACGACCUCGAUGUUGGAUCAGGGCACCCAAGUGGUGCAACCGCUACUAAAGGUUCGUUUGUUCAACGAUUAAAGCCCUACGUGAUCUGAGUUCAAAACCGGAGGCCUAAAUUAGGAGCU
rnacentral:rRNA from 1 species